GGAAGUAAAAGUCGUUACAAGGUUUCCGUAGGUGAACCUGCGGAAGGAUCAUUAUUGUAUAACCGAGGUGCGAGGGCUGUCGCUGACCCGAAAGGUCGUGCACGCCCGAGUGCCCUCACACACAUCCAUCUCACCCCUAUGUGCACCACCGCGUGGGUCCCCCUUUGGCUUGUUCGGAGGGGGGCUUACGUUUUCACACAAACUUUGUAUGCAGUGUAGAAUGUAUUUUUUGUUUUUGCGAUCACGCAUCAAUACAACUUUCAACAACGGAUCUCUUGGCUCUC
rnacentral:misc_RNA from 1 species